UUCUUACGACCAACAUGACCAAGAAUCAAAUGAGUGUGGUCAAAGAAAUCACAACGAAGACAAGUAUACGGGUGGUUCUGAAACUGGAUAAAAGAUGUGAUUUUGACACUCUUUUACCAUUGAUAUCAGCGGAUGAGAAGAUCACUGCAGAUCAUUUUCUUUACCUGACAACACCUGACUUUCGAGAGAAAAAAAUAUGGCGUUAAAACUCGCAAUUGUAGGUGUUCUUCUGGUUGCCCUCGCGAUUGCAACGAAUGUUUCCAGCGAAGAUACACAAAUUAGUGAGGAAGUCAAUGCUAAUGAGUUAAAGAAGUGCGUGCGGGAUACGAAAGACGAAUAUUAUUGCAGACGGUUUUUACAACUCUAUCAACGCUGGGACUCGCAAAGUGAGUAGCAGAAAAGCAGGGUGAAAAUCUACUACCCACUCUUGUGUGCAUCGAAAUCUCAGCUACACUCCUUUCAACGUAUUCAGUUUUGAUUAUUCACUGAUUUAAAGACGUAUAAAUUAUAUCAAUAAAUUGCCGUAUAUGAUCUUUGUGAUAUAAAGUAUUGAUGUACCCACGUCGGAUGACCAUGUUCUUAAUCAUGUAAUUCUGAAUCAUUCCAUUAUUCAUCUGUGGACCUUGUUUGUAUUUCAGUAGUCGGGGAGGGAAGGCCGGGGGGUCUUAUGCUUUCUUUUCGAGAAAAAAAAAGACAUAGACAAGUCCUACCCCACUCCAAACAAGAAACUCAUUUGAUUUCAACCAUUGGCCGCAAAAAGCAAGAAAACAAAUUAAUAUGAGAUUGUAAAGUGUAAAUAGUGUAAAUUCUAAACGAGUAAACAGAUUAUCUCAUAUUACUGAGUGCUCCUAAAAUGAUAUCUACCAUUUUUAACAAUUCUUCAUCUUGCAUUGUCUGACUCCCACUAAGCAUGCUAAGCCUAGAAUUAACCUGACAGAUAAAUGCAGAGCUCAUAAUCGUUUUUCGCAACUUCAUUCUCUUUCCCAUCGUUUUGUAUAAGACUCUCCCAUUCUAGUACGCCUUUUCCUCCUGAUUAGCUUAUAUUCUUUUAAUAAAUAGUUAAAGUUACAAUUAUACAGCGCUUAUUACAUUAUGUUUCUGAGCGCUUUACAUUGUACUAAUUUUUACCCUUGGAUUCUUAUUUGGCUAUGUGUGUGAAAAAUGCAGAGCAUCUAUCGUAACCGAUCUCGAUUAUAAUUAAUAAAUGGUGCAUACAAAACAUCUCCUUUUUAUUCUUUUUUUCAUCAAUUUAUGAUAUGAAAACUCCGCGAAAGUAUGAAGAAAAUCAGUUUAAAAAAUCUCCUGGCGAGCGGAAUCUUAAUACCUACGAGACUUUUUUUUUAAUUUUUAGUUUUCUAGAAGAGAAGAUAUUAAGAGAGAGAGAGAGAGUGUGUGGGCGUGUUUGGGGGAUGUGAGUGUUUGAGGGGUUGCAGGGGCAGCAUCAAGAAUGGGGAGGGGAUACAAGUAAGGCAUUUGCCCCCAAGUCAGGAUCGUUGCCCCACACUUGCAGCCCCCCCCCCCAAUUUUGAAAACUGUUUUAAAAAAUAUAUCUAAACAAGCUGUAAAGUAUUCCAAACCAGCAGUUUUCGAUCUUUAUAUUUUUUAAAUUUCCCAUCCAGUCACUGGAAGCUCCCAGCAAUAUUUAGUCAGCAACAUGAAUCUCUUAAUUUGGAUUAAUAAAUGAUCUGUUGAAUAGGAUAACAUGGGGC